rnacentral:rRNA from 1 species
GGGUUGUCAUGCCAAUGGCAUUGCCCGGUAGCUAAAUGCGGAAGAGAUAAGUGCUGAAAGCAUCUAAGCACGAAACUUGCCCCGAGAUGAGUUCUCCCUGACCCUUUAAGGGUCCUGAAGGAACGUUGAAGACGACGACGUUGAUAGGUCGGGUGUGUAAGUGUAGCGAUACAUUGAGCUAACCGAUACUAAUGAACCGUGAGGCUUAACCUU